GUUUGAUCAUGGCUCAGAACGAACGCUAGCGGCGUGCCUAACACAUGCAAGUCGUACGAGAAAUCCCGGGCAACUGGGAGAGUAAAGUGGCGCACGGGUGAGUAACGCGUGGGUAAUCUACCUUGGAGUUCGGAAUAACACCUCGAAAGGGGUGCUAAUACCGGAUAUCGUCCCAGGGGUUUCGGCUCCGGGGAUGAAAGAUGGCUGAGGCUUGCAAGCUAUUGCUCCAAGAUGAGCCCGCGUACCAUUAGCUAGUUGGUGGGGUAACGGCCCACCAAGGCAAUGAUGGUUAGCUGGUCUGAGAGGAUGACCAGCCACACUGGAACUGAGAUACGGUCCAGACUCCUACGGGAGGCAGCAGUGAGGAAUCUUGCGCAAUGGGGGCAACCCUGACGCAGCAACGCCGCGUGAGUGAUGAAGGCCUUCGGGUCGUAAAGCUCUGUCAGGCGGAAAGAAUGUUUCCAGGGUAAACAAUCCUGGAGAUUGACGGUACCGCCAGAGGAAGCACCGGCUAACUCCGUGCCAGCAGCCGCGGUAAUACGGAGGGUGCUAGCGUUGUUCGGAAUUAUUGGGCGUAAAGAGCGUGUAGGCGGCCUCGUAAGUCAGAUGUGAAGGCCCUUGGCUUAACCAAGGAAGUGCGUUUGAAACUGCUUGGCUUGAGUACGGGAGGGGAAAGCGGAAUUCCCGGUGUAGAGGUGAAAUUCGUAGAUAUCGGGAGGAACACCGGUGGCGAAGGCGGCUUUCUGGACCGAUACUGACGCUGAGACGCGAAAGCGUGGGGAGCAAACAGGAUUAGAUACCCAGGUAGUCCACGCCGUAAACUUUGGGCACUAGGUGUUGCGGGUAUUGACCCCUGCAGUGCCGAAGCUAACGCAUUAA
rnacentral:rRNA from 1 species